GAGGGAGAGGCGUGCUUCUUUGCUGUUGCACGGCCUGCGCGGCUGCAUGUCCACACUCCAUUCAUCGGGCCGCUUUCUUCCUCGUCUCCGCCCCGCUGCACCCUCUCCUCGUCAGCUCGCCUAGCUUACUUUCACUGUCCUCUGUUGCGGUCUGUUGCGGUGGCCUCCUUUGCUCUAUUGGCGCCGCUGGUUGAGCUUGGUUGUUGGUUCAACUUGCCGUUGUCGCUUGCGUCAAGCCAUGGGUCUUUCUGUCCUUCGCGUUCAGGUUGUACGAUCUCGGUCUUUGCUGCUUGCCAUUUGGUUAUGUGGUACAGUGUCAAUCCGGUGGCUGCCCAGAUCUAAAAUGAGCGUAGGGGUGGGUGUUGUCGCCCAGGGUUGGGCGUUCUCGCUGACUUUCUGUCUAACCUAUCCACAGGUCGUAUGAUCUUGUCCAUUGCUACAUCGUUGUUGCAAUUUUUGAGAUAUCUAAGCUGACGUCUCGAAUAGUUCAGAAUAGUCAGUCAGAACUGCACGAGCCAUCUUCACCUUAAUCUAAAAAUAGAAGGUUUUCCUUUUGGUAGAUCUUUGAAAAAUCUGUAGUGCAGUAAGCGCUGACAUUACCUAUUGCUCUGAUUUUUGAAGUUAAUUGCAGCUGACAAAGCUUUCACUGAUGCUUUGAGUUCCAUCGUUCGCUGUGUGGAAGAUAAAGAAUCCAUAUGGGGGUGUACUCUCUCCCUCAAGGUAAGCGUGGAUGCAACGGACAUUGAUUGUGGCUGUUCAGAUAAAAAACUAAGUGCAAAUUGAGUAUUAAUAGUGAGACUUAUUCUAUUUGUUUAUCCUUUUGGCCUUUUAAUCAAGAACAAUGUUCAGAGCUUACAUGGUUGUCGAAAUUUAGUUAUGUAAAAGAGGAAUAUUGAUAUCAUGCAAUGAUCACUUCAUAUUAGGAUAGUUAUAGAGUGUUUUCAUCGAGCAAAGAUUGAACGUGUGUCAUUUGUUCUAAUACCAAGUAAAUUUUUGUC